rnacentral:rRNA from 1 species
AGCGAACGCUGGCGGCAGGCUUAACACAUGCAAGUCGAGCGGGCAUCCUUGUGGUGUCAGCGGCAGACGGGUGAGUAACGCGUGGGAACGUGCCCUUCGGUUCGGAAUAACUCAGGGAAACUUGAGCUAAUACCGGAUACGUGCGAGAGCAGAAAGGUUUAUCUGCCGAAGGAUCGGCCCGCGUCUGAUUAGCUAGUUGGUGAGGUUAUGGCUCACCAAGGCGACGAUCAGUAGCUGGUCUGAGAGGAUGAUCAGCCAUACUGGGACUGAGACACGGCCCAGACUCCUACGGGAGGAAGCAGUGGGGAAUAGUGGACAAUGGGGGCAACCCUGAUCCAGCCAUGCCGCGUGAGUGAUGACGGCCUUAGGGUUGUAAAGCUCUUUUCUCCGGGACGAUAAUGACGGUACCGGAGGAAUAAGCCCCGGCUAACUUCGUG